rnacentral:lncRNA from 1 species
GGGAGGCAGGGGAGGAGAAGAGAUACGAAGGUGUGAUGGCCCAGCUCCCUCCCACAGUGAGUCCCAUCUCAGUCUCUGCCAGUGCCCUGGUGAAAAGCACACUUCCAAGGGCUGCCUUAGGCCUGUCAGCAGAAGUCUGCUAAACUCCAGACCUCGUCAAAGAGUAAUAAUGAGACCUUCUUCAGAGGGUCAUUGCAAGGAUUCAGUGAGGAACUACAUAUAAAGCUAUCUGCAAAGUUCCAAGGAAAUAGUAUGUGUCCGAUAAAUGUUAGCUGCUAAGGCUAUUAUUAUUGUCCCAAUCCCUGAUGUUAUUCAAAGCACAAGAAAACAUCUGAUAUACUACUUACAAGACAACCCAGCUUGGGCUGGCUGCAAGGUGAGGAGCCAGUGGUUAUGUGUAACUGCAUUAACAUGAAUUCUGAUGUUCGGUUAACCUGGGCUAUUCCUAAAGGAACUCCUCCUUUGAUGUCUCACCACCAGUGGCUUUGCCAGGAUCAUUUUUUGAAUCAGAGCCAGAUGAACUGUUGCAAUUAAAUGCUUAUUAGCUUAUGACACGCACCUAAGUGCCAGUCAAUUUAGAGAGGCUGCCAAUCAAAAAUGUGAGUUUUUAUUUUUGCUAUGGAGGUCUUUUUUAAGAAUAAUUGUAGAAGCGAGGAAUGGCAAGCUAAAUUACAAGAUGAAGCAAGAGUCAUCUGAAGUUGGCACUGAAAUCAGAAAUGUGGGUGGAAAAUUAAUUAAAGCAGGGAGGCACAAGCAAAGGGAAAGACAUUAGCAAGAUAUCCGGGGAGUUGGGGAUGCUGGUGGUGGUGGGGGACCCUGGACUGACCGUUGACCAUUAGUGGUUUACCAAUUAAAUUUGACAGACAUUUGGCUCAUGAAUGGUAAGAUUUCUAAUGAACUCAAGGCAAAAGAAUAUCUGGUAAAAGCUAUACUUUUAUUUAACUCACCUCAGUAAUUAACAAGGCCUGUUAGUUUUCUUUAGCUCCAUCUCUGGUUUGAGAUCACUGUUAAAUAAUUAUAAAAAUAUAAAUAGAAUGUUAGCAUCUUGGGUGUAUUUGGUUGUUGAGAAAUCUUUCUUUAGAGAAAAUAUAACUUCACAAUUGUACUCACUUAGGUUCCUUCAGGCUAGGAAGGAAUCUCAAAGGCGAUCUACUUUAACCACGCUCCAGAGGCAGAAGCCACUCCCAACAGUCCACAAUGUCUGUGAAUAUCUAGCCUGUAUUUGACAUAGGUUUUGCUUGUUUUUUUUUUUUUUAAUCUUAACAUUGUUUUUGGAACAUUCAGCUUGACUUCUUAUAAGUUCUAGUUCUAAGAAAGAUCUUACAUAUAAAGACGGCACAUCUUUCGUGAGACUUGCAACUUUUUCCACUGACUGUACUUUGUGAUUCUGCUUGGUGGUGAUUUUCUGGGUUUCUUCUUACAUUUGUGGGACUAAAGGUGAUUUUUUCAAAAUAAUAGUAAUCAACUGCAUAAUUUCCAGGAAUAGAUACAGCCAGCAACCUCCCAAUUCCUCUUCACACCGCAUCUCAAAUACUUCAUUAAAACACGGAUGCCAAACUUAAAAAACAGAAUGUGGCAUUUCUCUGGAAGAAUAUAAGCUUCAUGAGGGAAAAGACAUGUGCUUCCUUCUUGUAUUCACAGCACCUAAUACAGUACCUGACACAUGAUAAUAGCCUUAGAAGAAUACUUAAGAGGCAUCAAAUGAACGUUUGUUAGAGCUGUCACUGUUUAUUAUUUUUCAUUCACCGUGUACCAGUAACUUCUUUUAAUGAUGUCUGCUAUUUAGACUGUCACUUCAUUGUUCAUUAGUACAUGACUUUGGUUAAGUGUAUCUCCUGUGAAGAGAAAUAAUUUAACAAACUCUUAUGGCAUUCAACACGGAUAUUUCAGUUACUCAACUAAUCCACCCACUGAUAGUGAACUUUGAAUUAAAUCCUUUGAAGAAUAAAGUCAAAUAGAUCUUGAUAAGAAUCAAAGGCUGUGGAAAUCAUGUUUGACAGAAGGCAUGAACAAAAAUGCUAAAAUGAAUACUGUUUGGGGAGAAACACUCAUUUUAUGGCAGCCUGAAUGAAGAGUAAUAGUUCAAGAGUAUCAAAAUGCCUGUAUGAUCAAAAGGCAGAAACAGCUUCUUUUUACUAUGUCUUAAUAUUCCAGGACUCAUGAUAUCCUGCCUACAUGAGCACCUGUCUUUGUGGUAACUCGAAGUAUUUGAACACCUUAUCUCAUCCAACCUCAAAUUUCCUGUGAGGUAGGUAAGUGCUGAGAGCUCUUGGUGCUGUUUUCAAGACGAGGCAAGUGAGUUAGAGAGGCUGUUUACACACUACAAAUUUCACAGAGCCCUUAGGAGGAAGUGAACUUAAGAAUUAGCAGUUAAUUCCCAGUCAUAGAAAUCUGUUAGAGCUUGAAAGGACAUUGCCAAGACCCUGGUCCAAAAUGGGCUUUUCUGAUAAGAUGUAUUUGUGAUGACUUGAUUCAUUACACCAACCACACAAAUUUUAUGUAAUUUUCUAGUUAUAAAAGUAAUACACAUAGUAGUACAUACAUACAUAUAUGUAAUACAUGGCACAAAAGGGUAUUAAAUUUAAAAACAAAAGACGUGUAGUAGUCUCUCCUUUUAUAUCCCAAUGCCAUUUUUGAGAUUCCCAUCACUCAGAGGUAACCACUGUUAAUGGCUUUUAGUAUGUAUUUCCAAAAAUUUCCUAUGUAGCCAAAAGCGUGUGCAUGUAUAUGUGUACGCACACAUAUACAUGCAAUUACAUGUUUCGCUUCCUAUUAAAUAGCUACACUUGGAAGUUUUAUAACCAUUCCAAACUUAACAUGACCUUCUACUCUUCUCUCCCAAUCCUGAUCUUCUCAGUUCACCUGGAGAAUGCCAACUCCAUGCUCCCAGUUGUGUGAGUCAAAACUCUUUGAGAUCAUCCUUGGCUUCUCUAGUUCCUCCCUACUCCAUGUCUAAUUCAUCAGUAAAUCUUGUUGGAUGUAUGUUUAAAAUAUGUCCACAAUCCAAGCUCUUAUCACCUCUCCAUUGCUUCCACCCUCGUUCAAGCCAUCAUCAUCUCUUGUCUGAAUUAUUACAGUUGUCUUCUAACUGAUCUCCCUACUUCUGCUUAGCUUCCUAUUAUCUAUGAUCAGUCCUGCAGACAGAGGGAUCCUGUCAAAAGACAAUUUAAGAUACACUGCAUGCUUCUUCCCUACUCAGAAACCACCCAAAGGCUCUCCAUUUAAUUUAGAUUAAAAAGGAUGCCUGGGUGGCUCAGGGGUUGAGCGUCUGCCUUUGGCCCAGGGCAUGAUCCUGAAGUGGAGGGAUCGAGUCCCACCCACCUCGGGCUCCCUGCCUGCUUCUCCCUCUGCCUAUGUCUCUGCCUCUCUCUCUCUCUGUGUCUCUCAUGAA